UACGGGAGGCAGCAGUGGGGAAUAUUGCACAAUGGGCGCAAGCCUGAUGCAGCCAUGCCGCGUGUAUGAAGAAGGCCUUCGGGUUGUAAAGUACUUUCAGUCGUGAGGAAGGUGUUAAGGUUAAUAACCUUAGCAAUUGACGUUAGCGACAGAAGAAGCACCGGCUAACUCCGUGCCAGCAGCCGCGGUAAUACGGAGGGUGCGAGCGUUAAUCGGAAUUACUGGGCGUAAAGGGCACGCAGGCGGUUAAUUAAGUUGGAUGUGAAAUCCCCGGGCUUAACCUGGGAAUGGCAUUCAAGACUGGUUAGCUAGAGUCUUGUAGAGGGGGUAAAAUUCCAUGUGUAGCGGUGAAAUGCGUAGAGAUGUGGAGGAAUACCGGUGGCGAAGGCGGCCCCUGGACAAAGACUGACGCUCAUGUGCGAAAGCGUGGGGAGCAAAC
rnacentral:rRNA from 1 species